rnacentral:sRNA from 12 species
AAAGAACGCCGCCGGAUAAAGCGAGGGUGUUUUCACCAGCAUGCUAGACAUGUGGUAGUCGCUCCGGGGGUUCUUUUUUAU